UUUCCGUAGGUGAACCUGCGGAAGGAUCAUUAACACGUUUAUCACAACUUAAACCAAAACCUGUGCACUGAGGUGGAUUUAAAGAAAAAAUCGAAUCUUUUUUUUGAAAGUGACCCCUGUGUUCUCAUAGGGACUCGCGCGAGAUGGAUUCUUUUUUUUUCUUCUAAUCUACCGCCUUUUCUUAACCGUUAUACCCUUGAUCAAAUCGUUCUUCGGAACUUUUGAGAGAGGAAUGCCAUCUUAUUUUUUUAAACUUAUGUGCUCCUUUGUGUACAUCGAAACAUGUCACAAAGACACUUAAAAACAAACGCGAACAACUCUUAGCAACGGAUAUCUUGGUUCCC
rnacentral:misc_RNA from 1 species